GGGGGGGUGCCGGAGUGGUCAAACGGACAGCCCUUAAGAGGCUGUGGCUUAGUGCCUACGCAGGUUCGAACCCUGUCCUCCCCA
rnacentral:tRNA from 1 species